rnacentral:rRNA from 1 species
UACAGAGGUCUCGAGCGUUAGGCGGAAUCACUGGGCUUAAAGCGUGUGUAGGCGGAUCGUUAAGUGCCUUGUGAAAUCCCACGGCUCAACCGUGGAACUGCUUGGCAUACUGGCGGUCUUGAGCAACCUAGGGGCGAGCGGAACAAAUGGUGGAGCGGUGAAAUGCGUAGAUAUCUGGAAGAACACCGGUGGCGAAGGCGGCCUUCUGGACGAUGACUGACGCUGAGACGCGAAAGCGUGGGGAGCAAACAGG